CCGCGGGGUGGAGUAGUGGAUAACUCAUCAGCCUCAUGAUCUGAAGAUCGCAGGUUCAAAUCCUGCCCCCGCACAU
rnacentral:tRNA from 1 species